rnacentral:rRNA from 1 species
UACAGAGGUCUCAAGCGUUGUUCGGAUUCAUUGGGCGUAAAGAGCGUGUAGGCGGUUUUACAGGUCCGCUGUGAAAACUCGAGGCUCAACCUCGAGCUGUCGGUGGAAACCGUAAGGCUAGAGUCCGGAAGAGGAGAGUGGAAUUCCUGGUGUAGCGGUGAAAUGCGCAGAUAUCAGGAAGAACACCCGUGGCGAAGGCGGCUCUCUGGGACGGUACUGACGCUGAGACGCGAAAGCGUGGGGAGCGAACAGG